GGUCAUACCUGCCCGGUGGGAUUAUCUAAACGGCCGCGUUUACGUGUUAAAGUAGCAUAAUAGGUCGUCUUUUAAUUGGAGAAUGGAAUGAAUGGGGUGACGAUGGAAAAACUUUAUUGGAAAUAAGUAUUGAAGUUUACUUUUAAGUGAAAAGGCUUAAAUAAGUUUGUUAGACGAGAAGACCCUGUUGAGCUUAGUAUCUUUUGGGCAUGGGGCUUAUGAGUAUGUUUGUUCGGGGCAGAGUGGAAGAGAAUUAUGUCUUCUUAUAUCAUUUAUUGAUCCAGCAUGGCUGGAAAGAAGAAGAUAGUUACCACAGGGAUAACAGCGCAAUCUCCUCGUAGAGUUCACAUUUAAGAGUGGGUUUGCGACCUCGAUGUUGAAUCAAGAUUUCUACCAGGAGCAGAAGAUUGGUUAGUAGGACUGUUCGUCCUUUGAAAUCUUACG
rnacentral:rRNA from 1 species